rnacentral:misc_RNA from 1 species
GCGAGUAGUUAGCCUAACCGCAAGGAGGGCGAUUACCACGGCGGGGUUCGUGACUGGGGUGAAGUCGUAACAAGGUAGCCGUAUCGGAAGGUGCGGCUGGAUCACCUCCUUUCUGGAAAAAGCAGUCAAUCUCAAACGCUCACACUUAUCGGUUGUUGGAAGGAAGUCGCCAGCGAUCUGGAGUUGCUCCAGGUUACUAGUGACCGGCUUGGGUCUGUAGCUCAGUUGGUUAGAGCACCGUCUUGAUAAGGCGGGGGUCGUUGGUUCGAGACCAACCAGACCCACCAAGUGCUCUCAUUCCGCCGCAACCCCAUGGGGGAUUAGCUCAGCUGGGAGAGCACCUGCUUUGCAAGCAGGGGGUCGUCGGUUCGAUCCCGUCAUCCUCCACCAAUCACCUGAAGUGGUUCAACACCAAAGCCUCCUGAUUGUCAGGGUGUUUUGAUGUUGAUCGGUAUCUAUCGAUCAAUAUGCAAUCAUUGAUUGCAACGGCUGUUCUUUAAAAAUUCAUAGAGUCGAAUCAGCGUUGCUGAUGGAAAGCGCACAUUCGUAAAGGUUUAGUGCGUACCGUGCCAUCAGCAACAAUUUUUUGAUUGCGUCAACGAAUAUUCAAUUUGUUCGAAAGAUACAGAUUGAACGGCAUAACGCGUCAGGUGAAAGACCUGACAGACAUUUGCUUGAAGAUGUGAUUUUGCGUUGCAAGACGUCAAAGUUAUAGGGUCAAGUGAAUAAGAGCAUGUGGUGGAUGCCUUGGCGAUGAUAGGCGACGAAGGACGUGAUAGCCUGCGAUAAGCUUCGGGGAGCUGGCAAAUAAGCUUUGAUCCGGAGAUUUC